rnacentral:lncRNA from 1 species
AUUUAAAGCAGCUAAGACCCCUGUUAAGUUGACACUGUUCCAUUUUAAGAUGAAGACAUGGAAACUUAGAUGGUCGUAGCAAACUGUUUGGGGCCAUAUAGCUCUGAGUGGCAGAGCCAGAGUGAGAACCCAGACCUAUCUCUAUGCUGCAAGUCAUCCACACACCAUUCCAGGCCUGUCUUCCUCCAACCCCAGUUGGCAAGAGCCUUUCCAGUGCACAUUUUCAUUCCCUCCUGGCAUGUUCCUUGGUCUGUUUUUUUUUUUUUUUCCUGCAGGUAAUUUGCAUGGGUCAGAUUGUCUGUGCUUUGGUUGCAGAUUCAUAUGCCCAUGACAAGCAGGCCACAAAAAUGAUGAAGUUUGUGUAUCAAGACAUGAAGCCUGUGAUUGUGAGUAUUCAUGUAAUGUCAGCAUCUGCUUGGCCUUUGGUCAGUUUGGAAAUGUCUUUCCAGAAAGUUCCAAAGGAUAUUGUUUUACUCCUGAAAACCCUUAAUCUUGAGUUUUCCAUCUGCUAUGGAGAUAACACAAACUGGAAAACUUAUUUUGUCCUGAAAUUUUCAAUUUUCCUUCCUCUUACCACCAGGUACUUCCAUUUGGAAAUGUGUCCUCCUAGCCCACAGCAGAUUCUAAUCAUGCCCUGUGUGUCUAAGUACUCCUGAAAUGCUUCUGGUUUUCCUUAAAGGGAAAGUCUCAAUUCCAAACUUGACAUUUGAGUCCUAUAAAGUUCAAACCUUUGCUUUUUAGGUAGAUUUUAACACUUGUAAAUUUGAAAUUUAUUUCCCUUAGCUCCUGUCCCAGGUUCCAACACCUCAGGUCCUUCACUGCCCUUAAGUUUUGUCCUGUCCCACAUUAACUGGCUCAGUCCUCAUUGAAUGUGCCUUUGUUGCCUGGGCUUUUCUUCACUUUUUGCCAGGUUCCAAGGUAAAUCUACAGUGAUGCCUUCUGUGCAUUCUGCGAUAGAUCCACUGCAGAGGGACAUAGCAACAUUGCCUAGAAGUGGGACAUUGAGAGGAAUCAUUUGCAUUACAUUGGCCAAGGCAUGGCAGCCUCUGCUCCUUCUAAGGAGAGAAGCUGAAAAUUUGUCCACAGAUAAAUGCCAUGGAAUUGCUCUCACUGGAGGUCAGGUUCAAAGUGAAAAAAAAGGAAUGAUCAGAAUUAAUUUUAACAUACUACCCCAUGACACCAACAUAAAACAAGAUAAAAGGAUUAAAAAUUAAAAGGUCAAAAGUGAAAUAAAUCCAAAAAGCAAGCAAGAAAAGCACGGGGGAACUCCUCAAUAGUAUUUCUGAGUAUGACUCAAAUUCUAACUUUCAUAAAAGAUUUAUCAGUUCUACUAUAUAAAGUAGCACACUUCAGCAAAAGAAAAAUAUAAGCAGUCAAAAAAUAAAUACCAAGUGGAAAAUAAUUGCCAUACCAUAGGCACCAGUUUCUUAAUUGUUCCUGAUUUCUUGAUUAUAUAAAGAUUUCCUAGAAAUGAAAAGGAAAGGCUAGAAAAAUAUGCAAAGAAUGCCAGCAGACAGAUCACAGGAGUUAAUUAUAAAAAAGGGCCCUUAUAGGUAGGAAGAGAUACUUAGUCUCUUCCUAAAUGAAAAGCUACAAUGUUAAGCCAUUUUUAGCCUACAAAUUGGCAAAGUUGAAACCACAUUCUGUUGCCUUCUUAUCUUCCUGAUAGAAAUGCAAACUAGAACAACUUCUAUGAAGAAAGAUUUAGCAAUAUCUAUGAAAAUUCCAAAUGUAUAUGCCAUUUAACCAACAACCCUGCUCUGGGAAUUUAUCCUACAGCUUAGAUUGUUCACCUGCCAAAUAACGUAUUCUUAAAGUUUUUCUUUGUACCAUUGUUUGCAAUAGGAAAACACUAGAAACAAAUCGAGUGUCCAUCUAUUUAUAUAAGGGAAUUCAAUGUGGCUGCAUAUGUAAUUUUUUUUAAUUGAGGACAUUCUCACACUUCAGUGUGAGAGAUGAGAAGGAGACCAAAGUCAGAAAUCUUGAAUUUGGUCACAUUGGUAAGAUCUGUUAUUUAUUACUUUCUGUGGGAAUAGAAGGAUCUCCAAGUUAUUCAGAUAAGCAAAAGAAAAAAAUGCAGAAAGGUGUACAAAGCAGGGAGUGUGGUAAUAUAGAUUUAUAUUUGCUUGCAUUUGUAUAGAGAAGUUCUGAAAAGAUACACAGGAAACUAAUGAUAGUGGUCCUCUUUGGAAAACAGAUGGAGGGACCAAGACUCUUCAUCAGAUACGUUCAGAAUCUGUUUCAUUUUUAAACCACUGGAAUGCAUUGUCUAAUUUUGAAAAAGAAGUUUUAAAUGUAAGUUUGAAAAAUCCCUUAAAUAAAUGAUAAAUCUGGGCUAAGGGUGUGUGCAGUUCAGGGGUAGAACGUUUGCCUAGUGCACAUGAAACCCUGCGUUUAAUCAUAAGGUGCAGAACAUAAACAGACUAGAGUUUGAGAACAACUUGACUAAGGAACAAAGGUUAUGUUCCUGUGCAGGUCUACGUAUUGAAAUCAUUCUUUUGUAACAUAUUUAUCAAAAUCCUAACUAGGAAUGAGAGGUAGAGAAUUCUGAAGUUUGCCUAUAGGGUUUAGACUAAUCUAAUAUUAAGCCUCCAUAAUAGGUGUGUUUUUGUGAGAAUAAAGGUGAAAGAGAAGUCCAAAUCCAUGAAGGAUGAAUAUGACUGGGUUUCAUUAUAUGGUGAACCUAUGUUCUGAAAUGUGCCAGCUCAGGAAAUGUAGUUGAAAAGUGCAGCUGAACCCAUGGAGUCUCUAGGAAGUCAUGUUUGAAAUCUGCACUGUCCUAGGGAAUUGUUAACAUUACAUGUAGUUUUCAGCAUGAGGGUUGUGAAGAUGCCCAAAGUCAGAAAUCUUGAACUUGUCCACAUUGGUAAUACCUGUUCUUCAUUACCUUUCACAGGAUGCAAUACAACAUAAAUCAUUCAUUGGACCUAGAGGGAAUGGGGGGCGGGGGGAGAACUAUGACAAGGAAACAUAAAGGAAACAUUUCAAUGUGUCAGUCAAAUCUUUGAAGGUGAAUUCUAAAGCCCCUUUUUAUCAUGGGAGUUUUGGACAUAUUGAUGCUACUUUAAUGAUAUUACUUCUAUAUUUAUUUAUUUAUUUAUUAUUUAUCUUAAUUCUUCUCAUGGAAAUUAGAAGAAAAACAAUCCAGAAUCAAACUCAGAGAGAAGGAAGGAGUUUUACAAAAGAAUUUGUACUGGUUCUAUAGAUUGUAGAAGCCAUUUGAGAUUUUGAAAAAGAAGGUGACAGGGUCAAAAUUGCCCUUGAAUGCACCUGGAAGUGCACUUUGGAUUGAAUGGGAAGAGAAUGCCCAUCAGAGAACAGGGUCAAAGGUCAUUAUAGCAUGCCAAAUGAGAAAUUAUACUUGUUGCAAUAGAGUUGGGCAGGAAAUGUAGGUGCAAGAGAUAGUCAGGUACUGACUAGGUAUGAAGAGCAAAAGGAGAAUUCAGAGGACUCUGAAAUUAUAGAUUUGAUGAACAGGGGAGAGACGAUAUCAAUAACAACCUGGGGACAUUAUAACAUAUUUGAAGGCAGGCAGAAGAUGAGGGGUCCCAGGGGCCAGCAGGUGUUCAUGGGUGUUAUUCACAGGCAGUUUUGAGAAAUACUGGGGCUGGAGAUGGGGGUUUGGAAGACUCCAUGAAAAUGAAUGAAGUUAUCAAAAAAGAGAACAAUGUCCAAAAAUCUACUUAAAAGAAAAAAAAUUAUAUAUAUAUUAUAUAUAAUUUAUAUAUAUAUAUAAUAUAUAUUAUAUAUAUUAUUAUAUAUAAUAUAUAUAUUAUAUAUAUUAUUAUAUAUAUUAUAUAUAUAUAUAUAUAUAUAUAUAUAUAUAUAUAUAUAGCUCUCAGAUAAAAAGACUAAUAAGCUGAUACUGAAAUCUGAUAUCAAGAGGGAGGAGAGAAGAGAAAAUUGCUAUUGUUGAGAGAAUAAAUUUAAUUGAAUGAAAUUUACCAGACUUUAAUUGGGCAAAGAAUGAUCCUCCAAUUGGGCAGCCCUCAGAACUGGAAGAGGUUCAGAAAGCUGUGCUCCACAAUGUGGGCAGAUAUUUAUAGAUAGGAAACAGAAACAGUCCAGAAACAGCUCAGUUGGUUAUAUCUCAGGCUGUCUUUAUUUGGAUGCAGCCUGAUCAUUGGCAGCCUAUGAUUGGCUGAAGUUCAGUUUCUGUGAUUGUCUAAGACUUACCUGUUAAAAAAAACAAAAACAAGAACAAAUUUAAAUAUUCCUAAUUAGUCUUUCAGUUAAUGUACUAAGUUAGGUUAUAUUUCAUUACCUAGAGACUCAAAGUAUGUAGACACCCUCAGACCAAAUUUGGUGUAACCUAGUGCUAUGAUUGGUUAAUGAAAAUUACAGCCACCAAACUCAUAGCAGUUUGAGAAAGAUAGAGAAUGCCUUGAGACAGAAUCUUUACUGGCAGUUGCAGUUAGAGUUAUUAUUAAAUUGCAAAUUUCUGUUACCUAGAGAACUAAAAUUGGAUGAACCAAUAAGACCAGGAUGUCCCUCCUGGACACAGGGGAUUAGAAUCAAGGCUGCCCAUAUAUAUUUUGAUACUAAUGAUUUCAAAAUUUAUAUCUAUGAAUUGCUCACUAAAUCUUCAACAAUGUUUUAAGUUAUCUCAAUGCUUUUCUAAACCACCUCCUCCUUCUUGAAUGGAGACAAAUGUUAUCUUUGAAAACCCUAUGAUUAAUCAUAGGCUCUGAGUGUUACUUUCCACUUGGGAGAAAUCUAAAAAGAGGGAGAGAGACUUUUCCUCUACUUCUUCUCUCCUUCUCCUCCCUCACAUGCACCCUAUUUUUCAUACAUCAAGUCCUAUGGAGUUGUUUAUUUGUUUUGUGGGGCUGGGGAUGAACCCAGGACCUCACACUUGCUAGACAAGCUCUAUUGCUAAGCUAUACUCCCAGCUGCGCUGUGGGUUUUAAUGAAGUUGAAAGAGAUUUCAACUCAGUGGCUGCAGAGUUGUGGUUUGGGGUUUUAAUCUUUCCAGCAAACAGAUGAAAAAAUUAUGUCGGGUAGAAUGUCACUUGUUGUACAAGUUUCUGUUUGUUGUGUAGUCAAUUCUGCCCCCAGGCAGUUACAUUACAGAGGUGGCUUUACCCUUAGGUGAAAGCAUCUCAUUCUUUGCUCUUCCCUGAUGAUCAAGAUUUGUUGCUCAAGUCAAUAAGAAUGAGUUUCUAGUUCUUGAGAAAAUACUGAUGUGGGAAGGCAGGCAAAUGGAGCCAGAUGCACAGGAGAUUUUGAAAUUGAAUGUAAUUGCUCAAUUAUCUUGCAUAUAAUAAAUUACCAAUGAACACUUGGCCAAAUUAUAAGGAUUACUGUAAAUCAAGAUAGGAAACAAAAUGUUGUCCCCAUGACCUGAAAGAAAAUAAUAUUAACACUUAGUGAAACGUACUACAUUCUGUUUUGAAUAUAUAUAAAUUAAGUUCCUCUAAAGAUAAGCAUCUCUGUGCUUUGCUGUGUCUAAAAGGGAAAGUGCACUUUGGUGAACAGGAACAUUUUUAUAUGGAGACUCAAAGUGUAUGUGUGGCACCAAAGACAAAGGACAAAGAAAUGGACAUAUACGGGUCAAGCCAGAAUGCAAUGUUCACACAGGUGGGUUUCUUUCCAGUCACGACUUCUGGCAUCACAGCUGUAGAACUUCUAAAUGAGGCAUUGUCAUUUUUUUUCUGAUUUAUAGCUGUAUAACCAAGAUAAUGAGGUAAUGUUUAAUUAAAGGCUGAACAUCAGGACAGGGGCCAAGCCUAGCCCUAAUUUUUACUAGUUUCCUUUAGUGUUCUGCAAAGUUCUACCCAUCCCCACUUUGUCUAAGAUGAUGACAGCCUCCUACUUCAUUAGGGAAAAUCAUCAGUCCUGAAAUGUCCCAGUCUCCAUCUGUCCCCAUCUUCAUUACAUGCACAGUCUGCAGGUGAGAGGUCCUCCUUCCCCUCCAGGCCAGUCUUUACACCUGCACCUUUGGUCCCACUUUCUCCCUAUCAAUUCAUAAACUCAAGUCUGAUCAAGGAACCUGGUGGCUACUGCUUCUUUCUCUUCCCCUUCUGAAUCAAGUUUUUAGAACAGUUGCCUACACUUGCUGCUUCUCAUUUGUGCUUCAAUUCACUGCUUCUGCCAAGGUCACCAGUUGUCUAUUACUUCUCAAAUCUAAAAGAUGUUCUUCUCUUCCUCCUGGAUGUCCCUGCUGCCUUCCACACUGAAGAUCACUUGGGCAUUGACACUCUUCAUGCUCCUGACUUUUCAGAUGCUUCUCUCCUGAGUUUCUUUUCAUGAUGAAUAAUUGAAUUUUUUCAAAAUAAAAAUUUAAAUAGGAAAACAUAAAAAGGAAAUAAAACAUGCUAACCAUAUAGUGUAAAUAUACAAUACAUAUAUUCCUCUAAUAGUCUCCUUCAUAAUCAUCCUUGGGAAAUUUAACAUUGACAAGCCCUAUUUAUUUCCUAUAUGGAUGAUGUUCAAAUUUCUACAAUUGACUCACUAAUGUCCUGGGUUUUAUAUUUCGGUUUUUGUUUUUGUCUUCUUCUGAUCUAAGAUCUAAUCCAGGGUCAUGAAUUGCUGUUUCUUUAAUCUCAUUUACUCUAAAAUAAUUUCUAAGACUAUGUUUUCUUUCACAGUGUAGAUAUUUUUGAAGAGUCAAGAAGGACAUUCCUUAAUUUGGACUUGAUAGUGUUUUCUUCCUGAUAGAUUCAGGAUGAACAUUUUUGGCAUGAAUAUUAUAGGAAUGUAUUUUGAGCUUGUCAUAUCAGGAGGCAGGCACACUAUGUUGCUGUGGUCCAUUACUGAGGAUGUUAAGUUUGGUCAUUUGUUGAAAGUGGUACUGUCAGGUUUUUCUUGAGUACAGGUACCUUUUCCCCUUUGUAAUGAAGCAACCUGUGGACUGCUAGUUCAAGACUGAGUGUAUAUAUCUUCCCCAGUGGUUCUAGUGUCACUGAUGAUUCUUCUCAGAAGAUUCCAAUUCCAUUAUACAUGUACAUUUAUUACUCUGCACUCUUCCAAAAAGAGCUUCAAAUGUUUUUUGUAUCAAUGUGGACUUGACGAUUCUUUUUUUAAAAUUGAUGUUACAGUGCAUUCCAGUUAUCAUGAUUUUUGAUCCUAAAAUUACCCUGAAUUUGGCCAGUAGGAACACUUUCACGCUUUCUUUCUUCAAUAUUUUGACCUAGAAUCUAUCAGCUUUUCAGAACUUUCUCCUUGUUACUUUUAAGGGAGAAUGGUAUUUAGAAACCAAAUCUGGUGCUAAGUGUGUUCACUACUCAUGGGGUAUCAGUACUCUUAGGCUCUCUCAGUGUUCAGAAAUAGAACAAAAAAAUUUUAAAGAGAAGACCAUACUGAUCCAAUAAUUCCAUUCCAACACUCCAAGUUUCUCUCUGUUAUUCAUCCUUUCCAUAUUUGUGUCUCCCUUCACCCACAGCAAGAACCCUGGUUUCCAACAAUAUACUUUAUAUUUAUUCAUUUGCUCAAUCUUAUAAUACACACAAAAUAGUUUCAAAAUCACUACUUUCAAUACUACCAACAACAAACUAGUAAGUCACAUUUAAGCUUUCUUUGUAUUCUUAUAACCUUUUCCAGGGACAGACAGUGUGCACAAAGCACUGAAUUCAAAGUUUACUUGGCUUAAUGUUUCGUGGCGACUUUACACACAGCUGAGUUCAUUUUUUCUCUUUAUAUUCAAUUUGAGAUGAUUUUCCCAUUGUAGUUCAAUAUUUUUAUUACCUAAAGCACCUUCAUAAAUAUUAAUGGUGGGAUAUAAUGCUUCAGUUAUUGGUAUUUUACUUCUAAAGUAUUUGUGCUUACCUUCAGACUUUAUAAGGAAUUCUUCAUGGAUCCCAUCAUUUUCACUAAUAUUACUAGUAAUUUGCUCUUCCCUAGUAUCCUUGCACACUGGAGAUUUGAUGUACCAUCUCCCGCCCACUACCUGCCAUGAAUUAUCUAGGUGUGACCACCCCCACCACACACACCAAAUAUGAGCUACAAGCUGGGACCCAGGGAUUUUAAAUCUGCAUUUCUAUUUCCCUUAGCCCUGGCCAUGGUAUUUGGGGUGCUCCUGUGAUUCACAUCAGCUCCAGGCAGAAAUGACUCAGCUAAUUCCAUUUUGGAAAGGAACCAGGGGUCCUGAUCCUGGUGCACAUGCAAUCCAUCUCCUGGGAGCUCUUCAAAUGUUGAUAUUUAUUUCCCCUUCAUAGACUAAUGAGAUCAAAAUUCUGGGUGUGGGCCAACACACACACACACACACACAUACAUACAUACAUAUAUAUGUAUGUAUGUAUGUACGGCUUUAGGAGAAGCUUAUUUAUCAGGUUUGCAAAUCCUGGGCACAAGAUUCUCAGCUUACCUCCCAAUUCAAAUGGCUAUUGAUAUAAAUCUAUGGAAGAACAUUUCCUCCCAGAAAUGUAUCAAGAAUUUGUUAUGCAUUCAUGAGCUAUUAGAAAUAAUUUAAAAUCUUAUAUAACUUAAAGGUACUCAUGGAGAACAAAAUAGAAAUUAUAUUUGGUGGUGCACUGAUGUUCAUUUUCAAUUCAUUCCUCAUCCAAGAAUUGGUGACUCUUUGGCCCUUUGUAGUUAAGGUCUUUUUCUUCUUUCUCUGCCUCCAUUCCAUGGUAUUUCUGUGUUUUCAGUAUCUUUCUUACUCCUACACAGCUCUGUGGACAUCACAUCUUUGAUUUCAGGCCCUUCUCCAAGCACACAGAUUAUUCUCAGUGUCCACAGACACUGAGUCUAUGUAUCAUCAUGUUUCCUCAGAGAUACUUCCCUGCUGCUCAUUGCAGAGGGUGUCUCCAGCUUUGCCCAUGAACUCUCUCCCAGCCGCCCUCCAGCCCUACUUUCCACCAUUCUGUUCCAAGUACAAGCUCUCCAUAGCAUUCUGUGCUGGUGGCCACAUUCUGCCCAGCGUGACAGAAGGAAUUAUUUCCUGAUUGAUGUCUGAGUUAAAUAUGAAUCCUCUAUGGAGCAGAAACAUAGAUAAACAUAAAGAAUCGAAGUGUCUUUCUGUAAACUUCUUUCUGCCCAGCUGCUGCAGGAUUCAUAUCAUCACUUCUCACCUGCUGGUAGGGGUCAUUACCAGCUUUCCUCCAACCCACUGGCUUCCACUUCUGCCUCUCCCUGGGUCAGUGGCAGGCCUUGAUUUAUCUCCAUGUCACACGGAUGGCUGGCCAGCUCUGCCUGACUGACUCAGGAUCAUCUUUAUUAUUUCUCUCUGUAUGAUGCAGAGUUCCCUCUGACUGUCUUUUCUGGCAGCUCAUUUAUAUGAGAUAUUAAUGCUCAUCUCUAAGCAUCUCAGCGACCCUUUGUGGGACUCUGGGGGCUGCUGAGCUGAGGACAAUGAGAAGCCCAGUAUGAUCACUUUUGUGAUCUAUCACUAAUACAUUUUGAAAAGAAAUAUUAAUUUAUUCUCUCAAUUGUGACUUUGCAGGCAUCUAUAGCAUUUUCUAAAGUCAUCUCCCCAAAUAAAUAAAUAUAUUUUUAUUCCGAGAAACGGGAAAAUGUUAGGAAAAAUUUCUUUUCCUGUGAAUGAACUUCUUGCUCAUCAUGUGUGUACUGCGUAACAUUCUAUAACAACUCCAGACCCACAGGAAACGGUGGCUGGUACCUUGGGCAUUCCAAAGAACAGGAUCAGCUGCCAUGGGAAAAGGGCUGGUGGAUCCUUUGGAGGGAAGUUGAGCACACAAGUGAGUGUUAUCUGUGAGCCACGCUCACAUGAACCUGGAUCCUCUGUAUUCCAGUUCUUAGUCCUCCAUUCCUAUUAAAUCCCAGAGUUUUCUCAACAACACAUGAGGAUAAAGGCCAAUGGGCUGCUACCCUUCCAGAACUAAUGAAGGAGGGCCACUGUAGCAUGAAGAAUUGGACACCCUCUGUGCUUCCAGCUGAGUCCACAGUGCUGGGUGGAUUCUGAUCUAAUUAUUUUCCUGUAUUUAUUCCUAUCUCUCAGCAAAGGAAAUAAGAAUAAAUGAAAGAGAUAAUUUGAUUCAUUGACAGUAUUUAUUGAGAUAUGAGCAAAACUUCAUCAAUAUAGAAAGUAAGACAAAAAAAGGAUAUUAAUAUUUUGCCUUUGGGUGGCUUACUAUUUCUUAAGGACAAAGACACCUGACCAUACAUUAAAAAUUUAGUAUAUUUGGAAGAACACUUGAGAAACUGCUGACAGCUGUGCUUCCUGGAAGAGCUAGGUAACUGGACCACCAGAGCAGGGGCUGCAGUUCUCAUUAAGCACCCUUUGAACUUUCUGAACUGUGUGACAUGUGCAUGUAUCAGCUAUUCAAAAAAUAAAUUAUUUACAGACAUUACUGAUGCACACAGCUAGUAAAGAGUGCUGUUAUAAUGCUGGAGGGACCAGAUGAUAAAUUCUGCCUCUCGGAAGCAGACCAGAUCAUGGACCAACACACACACACACACACACUCACACACACACACAUACUCACACACACAGUUCUGGAAAAGGACACAAAUGCAAAGACAUGAGGUGUGUGUUCAAUUUUGGUAGUCCCAACCAAAUUCAGG